rnacentral:rRNA from 1 species
GGAUCAUUACCGAGUUCUCGGGCUUCGGCUCGAAUCUCCCACCCUUUGUGAACAUACCUCUGUUGCUUUGGCGGCUCUUUGCCGCGAGGAGGCCCUCGCGGGCCCCCCCGCGCGCUUUCUGCCAGAGGACCUUCAAACUCCAGUCAGUAAACGUCGACGUCUGA